UAUUCGCGUAUCUUGUAGAGUUUGUUGCCAACAGAAACUAUUUUUCAGUCAGUUUCCAUUAGGAAUUGUUGCCCCUUAUCUUAAACGACUUACGUUUGAUAUUGAAUACACACUGACGCGUACAUCGUACAAUAUGGUGAUCAUUUCCGACUGUUGCGCCGACUUUAACCACGUUGACGGGACUCUCGCUGCGUUCAAAACAACGUUCUACUUGCGGGCCCAUUUCUGAUCAUCAGUGAAGGCUGAAGAUCAUUUCAAGGUGGAUGACAAUUUGGCAUUUCUUCGACGGAACCCUGCACCUGAAUAUGGCUGAGUAUAUUUGAUUUAAUAUCGAUACUGCUUAGUGUUCUUUGUUACUUCAGCUUUCGUACGUUCUAAAUAUCUGGUGUCAAUAAUUGCCACAGAAGUAAAACCCUACCCAAUGGAAUGACGUUAAACAACAACUUUGGUGCUUGGUUACCAACUGGAUAAUAACAAAGCUAAAAUAAUGUCUGUCUUUCCCACAUGUUACAGUAGAAGAAACUCUAGAACUGUAUAAGGUUAAAAAGGUAACAUGUUUGUCCCAAGGUGUCUGCCUCCUCACCCAGAGCCAGACCUCCACCUCCUCACCCAGAGCCAGACCUCCUCACCCAGAGCCAGACCUCCUCACCCAGAGCCAGACCUCCUCACCCAGAGCCAGACCUCCACCUCCUCACCCAGAGCCAGACCUCCACCUCCACCUCCUCACCCAGAGCCAGACCUCCACCUCCUCACCCAGAGCCAGACCUCCACCUGCUGUCAGAAGUUCUCCAGAACAGCUGAAAGGCGAGGCUGAGAGGCUGGGGACCGGAGGCUUGUGGUGCCAGGAUGGACCGGAGACUGAGGCUGGAGACCAGGGGCCUGCAGCACCGGACCAGAGGGUGAUUUACUGCUGAGACCAACUGUUUGUGACCAGACCAGGAAUCCAUGGCUGAAGGGGCUGAUGGAGGAGCCGUGCUGAAGAACCUGCCUGAUGGAGAAGCCGUGCUGAAGGCCCUUCCGGGUGAAGGAGCUGAUGGAGGCUCUGCCUGGUGGAGGAACUGAUGGAGGCCCUGCCUGGUGGAGGCUUUCUGUCGUUGGGUAGAUGGAGCCCGACUCUGAAGUGAUCAUCACACUCAGUGCCACUUAACGUAGAAUACUGCUACCACAAACUACCGGCAUUUGUUAAUAUACCAGACAACUACAUCUGUUUUACCACACAUUGAAGCAAGACUUCAGCUGUUUGUUCCAGACCAGGACUCUGGCUGAGGAGCGCUGAUGGAGGAGCCAAGACUCUGGAGGACGACACCACUCUACCAACAAGGAUCCUUGUCAGUUUGCAUAAAAGACAAAUUACGUUUGUAACCAGACCAGGAAUCUGGAGUGCUGACGGAGAAGCCAUAGAUCUGGAAGGCAAAUCCUGAGGACGACCAGGACUCUACCAUCAAGGAUUCCUCACACACCAGAGCUGAACCUCGCCUGAUCCUGUUUGGUCGGGGUCCGACUCACCUGAGCUGAACCCCACCUGAUCCUGCUGGUCCCGUCUUCUCAGUUCAUCUUAGCCUCAUCUUCCAGAAGACCUGCUGAACUCAGCGGUCUGAUCCUGAUGGAUCAAUGACCUCCAGUGGGAGUGAUCUUUUUGACCCCACAUGUACCCGUGUGCUUCCACACGCCUUUCCCUCACGUCUGUCACUAACCUCACUACUUCACUAAUCUCUACUCCUUACCUUCUUCUUCCUUCUCCGUGGUUCGAGCCUUUACUCUGAAGGAGUGUCUUCUUGAACAUUUACACUGAAGGACCGUCUUCCUGCCCUCAGAGGGUUCAGCGUUAGGGUUGAGAGUCAGGGUUUAGAGUCAGGGACAGAGCUGGUCAGGGAGGACUGGUUUUACACAAACCCCUUCAUUUGCUUUUGUGAAUGGUGGUGACAUUUUGAAAUUAUUAAUUUGGGAAAAUGUUUUCCUCUGCUUUCCUUUACAAAAGUAUGUAUUCAACUUCUGUCAAGUGUUUUUGUUUACACUGUAUAUUAAAAUCCUACAUUGACUUCUG